rnacentral:rRNA from 1 species
UACAGAGGUCCCAAGCGUUGUUCGGAUUCACUGGGCGUAAAGGGUGCGUAGGUGGCAGGGUAAGUUUGAUGUGAAAUCUCCGAGCUUAACUCGGAAACUGCAUUGAAUACUAUCCUGCUCGAGGGUUGGAAGGGGGACUGGAAUUCUCGGUGGUAGCAGUGAAACGCGUAGAUAUCGAGAGGAACACCAGUGGCGAAGGCGAGUCCCUGGACA